rnacentral:rRNA from 1 species
CAGGCCUAACACAUGCAAGUCGAGCGGACCAUUCCUUCGGGGAUGGUUAGCGGCGGACGGGUGAGUAACACGUAGGCAACCUGCCUGUAAGAUCGGGAUAACUACCGGAAACGGUAGCUAAGACCGGAUAGCUGGUUUCCCCGCAUGGGGGAAUCAUGAAACACGGGGCAACCUGUGGCUUACGGAUGGGCCUGCGGCGCAUUAGCUAGUUGGUGGGGUAACGGCCCACCAAGGCGACGAUGCGUAGCCGACCUGAGAGGGUGAUCGGCCACACUGGGACUGAGACACGGCCCAGACUCCUACGGGAGGCAGCAGUAGGGAAUCUUCCGCAAUGGGCGCAAGCCUGACGGAGCAACGCCGCGUGAGUGAUGAAGGUUUUCGGAUCGUAAAGCUCUGUUGCCAAGGAAGAACGCCUCGGAGAGUAACUGCUCUGAGGGUGACGGUACUUGAGAAGAAAGCCCCGGCUAACUACGUGCCAGCAGCCGCGGUAAUACGUAGGGGGCAAGCGUUGUCCGGAAUUAUUGGGCGUAAAGCGCGCGCAGGCGGUCUUUUAAGUUUGGUGUUUAAGCCCGGGGCUCAACCCCGGUUCGCACUGAAAACUGGGAGACUUGAGUGCAGGAGAGGAAAGCGGAGUUCCACGUGUAGCGGUGAAAUGCGUAGAGAUGUGGAGGAACACCAGUGGCGAAGGCGGCUUUCUGGACUGUAACUGACGCUGAGGCGCGAAAGCGUGGGGAGCAAACAGGAUUAGAU